UCUGGUACUUGUAUCAGAAUGAAGAGUAGCGAACGGGUGAGUAACGCGUGGGUAACCUACCUCUUAGCGGGGGACAACUAUUGGAAACGAUAGCUAAUACCGCAUAACAAUGUUAAACCCAUGUUUAACAUUUGAAAGUACCAAUUGGUACACUAGGAGAUGGACCCGCGUUGUAUUAGCUAGUUGGUAGUGUAAUGGACUACCAAGGCGAUGAUACAUAGCCGACCUGAGAGGGUGAUCGGCCACAUUGGGACUGAGACACGGCCCAAACUCCUACGGGAGGCAGCAGUAGGGAAUCUUCGGCAAUGGACGAAAGUCUGACCGAGCAACGCCGCGUGAGUGAAGAAGGUUUUCGGAUCGUAAAACUCUGUUGUUAGAGAAGAACGUUGUGUAGAGUGGAAAAUUACACAAGUGACGGUAUCUAACCAGAAAGGGACGGCUAACUACGUGCCAGCAGCCGCGGUAAUACGUAGGUCCCGAGCGUUGUCCGGAUUUAUUGGGCGUAAAGCGAGCGCAGGUGGUUUAAUAAGUCUGAUGUAAAAGGCAGUGGCUCAACCAUUGUGUGCAUUGGAAACUGUUAGACUUGAGUGCAGUAGAGGAGAGUGGAAUUCCAUGUGUAGCGGUGAAAUGCGUAGAUAUAUGGAGGAACACCGGUGGCGAAAGCGGCUCUCUGGACUGUAACUGACACUGAGGCUCGAAAGCGUGGGUAGCAAACAGGAUUAGAUACCCUGGUAGUCCACGCCGUAAACGAUGAGUGCUAGUUGUUUGGGGCUAUCCAGCCCUAAGUGACGCAGCAAACGCAUUAAGCACUCCGCCUGGGGAGUACGACCGCAAGGUUGAAACUCAAAGGAAUUGACG
rnacentral:rRNA from 1 species